CCUACGGGUGGCAGCAGUGGGGGAUAUUGCACAAUGGGGGCAACCCUGAUGCAGCGACGCCGCGUGGGUGAAGAAGCGCCUCGGCGCGUAAAGCUCUGUCAGCAGGGAAGUAAAUGACGGUACCUGAAGCAGAAGCCCCGGCUAACUACGUGCCAGCAGCCGCGGUAAUACGUAGGGGGCAAGCGUUAUCCGGAUUUACUGGGUGUAAAGGGGGCGCAGACGGCGAUGCAAGCCAGUAGUGAAAGCCCGGGGCCCAACCCCGGGACUGCUCUUGAAACUGCGUGGCUAGAGUGCAGGAGGGGUAGGCGGAAUUCGUGGUGUAGCGGUGAAAUGCGUAGAUAUCAGGAGGAACACCGGUGGCGAAGGCGGCCUGCUGGACUGCAACUGACGUUGAGGCCCGAAAGCGUGGGGAGCAAACAGGAUUAGAUACCCGAGUAGUC
rnacentral:rRNA from 1 species